rnacentral:rRNA from 1 species
CCUACGGGUGGCAGCAGUGGGGAAUAUUGGACAAUGGGGGGAACCCUGAUCCAGCGACGCCGCGUGCGUGAAGAAGUAUUUCGGUAUGUAAAGCUCUAUCAGCAGGGAAGAAAAUGACGGUACCUGACUAAGAAGCCCCGGCUAACUACGUGCCAGCAGCCGCGGUAAUACGUGGGGGGCAAGCGUUAUCCGGAUUUACUGGGUGUAAAGGGCGUGCAGACGGGGGGACAAGUCAGAUGUGAAAUUCAAGGGCUCAACCCGUGAACUGCAUUUGAAACUGUUUGCCUUGAGUGUAGGAGAGGUAAGCGGAAUUCCUGGUGUAGCGGUGAAAUGCGUAGAUAUAAGGAAGAACACCAGUGGCGAAGGCGGAUUACUGGACUGUAACUGACGGUGAGGCGCGAAAGCGUGGGGAGCAAACAGGAUUAGAUACCCGGGUAGUC